GCUGUGAGGCAGCAACUCUACCGCUGCGCCGCCAAUGUGACAUGCCGAAUUCCGAGUUUUAGAAUGAAGUUAGCCGCUUACAAAUUCCCAUUCUCUGCCCAGCGUGGAGAAUCUUGAAUUGCCAAGACACAAGGCACUCUAGAUGUUGGUUCCUUUCCUUAAAAUCACGAAUUGAGAGUUAUCUAUUCAAGAAUAAUGUAGUGUGGUGCGUUGGAUUUGUCCAU